GUGGGGAAUAUUGGACAAUGGGCGAAAGCCUGAUCCAGCCAUGCCGCGUGUGUGAAGAAGGUCUUCGGAUUGUAAAGCACUUUAAGUUGGGAGGAAGGGUAGUAACCUAAUACGUUGCUACUUUGACGUUACCGACAGAAUAAGCACCGGCUAACUUCGUGCCAGCAGCCGCGGUAAUACGAAGGGUGCAAGCGUUAAUCGGAAUUACUGGGCGUAAAGCGCGCGUAGGUGGUUCAGUAAGUUGGAAGUGAAAUCCCCGGGCUCAACCUGGGAACUGCUUUCAAGACUGCUGAGCUAGAGUACGGUAGAGGGUGGUGGAAUUUCCUGUGUAGCGGUGAAAUGCGUAGAUAUAGGAAGGAACACCAGUGGCGAAGGCGACCACCUGGACUGAUACUGACACUGAGGUGCGAAAGCGUGGGGAGCAAACAGGAUUAGAUACCCCAGUAGUCC
rnacentral:rRNA from 1 species